rnacentral:snoRNA from 1 species
AUCCUUCAGGUUCUGACAUGUGAUGAGUGGGUAUUCAUGCGCCUGCGUGAAAUGUGCCGUCCCUAAUUGUUACGACAGGGCACAGUACCCUUCUGAUC